ensembl:lncRNA novel transcript, antisense to HMGCS1
UGAAACAUUUCUCUAAAACUUUAUUUCAAAGUUAUUCACCUCACCGUUAAUAAGGUGUAUGAUUAAUGCUCUGUGCCAGUAUUUGCAGGCCUGCCCAUUGCCGGCAAUGGACUUUGAGAAAACCCAUUUCCUGGCACCCAAAAGUUAAAUUACUCUUUUCAAAACAUACCGAUCUCCCCAACACUUGCAAAAGUAUUACAUGCACCAUUUUGCCACCAUUCUUUAAAUCAGAACUUACAUUAUUAAUCUACAUCAGUGAAUGUUAAAUGAAGUCAUUACAAUAACUUUUGUCACUGCUGGCCUGGACUUAACAUUCCAGAUUCCAGAGCCAGUGUUUUAUUGUCCCAGCUCUUUUCUUCCUCUUUAGGAUUUAUCAAUUUUAGAAAAAGGGCAUGUUUGUUUUGCUAUUUUCAAAGGGUUUGUGCGUAUCACAUUUUACCACAUUUUACCCCAAUUUUACCACACUGGGGAAUGUUGUCACAUUCCCCAAGCUAGAAAUGUUUUCCAAAAACCACAGGUACUUUCUGUAAUCUUGUUGUUCAAAGUACAAAAUUCUUACAUGUUAAAAAAUUUUUUAAUUGGAGAUUAGUACCUCUGCUUUCUUCUGACAGAAGUACACAAUUCAUUAUACCAUGUUUAAAAA